UGGCUCAGUUGGUAGAGCAUGGUGCUUGCAACACUAGGGUUAUGGGUUUGAUUCCUAA
rfam:Salmo salar isolate Sally breed double haploid chromosome ssa14, whole genome shotgun sequence.